rnacentral:rRNA from 1 species
UACGUAGGGUCCAAGCGUUAUCCGGAAUCAUUGGGCGUAAAGCGUGCGUAGGCGGAUGUUUAAGUGCAAUGCGAAAUCCUGUGGCUCAACCAUAUGGACUGUAUUGCAUACUGGAUAUCUGGAGGAAUGCAGAGGCAAGUGGAAUUACCGGUGUAGCAGUGAAAUGCGUAGAGAUCGGUAGGAACACCAAUGGCGAAGGCAGCUUGCUGGGCAUUUUCUGACGCUAAGGCACGAAAGCGUGGGGAGCGAACAGG